UACGGGGGAGCAAGCGUUGUUCGGAUUUACUGGGCGUAAGGGCGCGUAGGCGGUCGUGACAAGUCACUUGUGAAAUCUCCGGGCUUAACUCGGAACGGUCAAGUGAUACUGUCGGACUAGAGUACAGAAGGGGCAACUGGAAUUCUCGGUGUAGCGGUGAAAUGCGUAGAUAUCUGGAGGAACACCGGUGGCGAAGGCGGCGUCCUGGACCAACACUGACACUGAGGAGCGA
rnacentral:rRNA from 1 species